AGGUUUGGGAAAAAUGGACUGUAUUUUCUGAGUUCACCACUUGUCAGCACAGAAUGCUUUAAAACAACAUAAAGCAAAAUGUUGCCAAGCAUUUCAAUCAAAAAGAACCUAAAGAAAUCCAGGGGAAAAUAUCUACUUACGUAAAAUACAAUGUGGAAUGCCUACCCUUUGAGAGUUCUUAAAGAUUCCAACCUUCAUAAUUCAUGUGAUAUUGAACGCUGAUGUGUACUACAUAAGUUGAUUUAACUGAUUUCCUUGUUCAUUCAAAAUACAAUCUUGUAGAAUUCUCUUUUGGCCCUUGGAAAUGCUGUGCUGAAGAGACUUCAAGGCUUUAAUGGAAAUGCCAUUUCCUGUACCUUCCUCCUCUGUCUUUGGCCUUGGAGACAGCUGAGAUGCUAAAGAGAGAAGUCCUGUUUUAUUAAUAUGUAUGUACUGCAUAGUGAGGACAAAUAUCUCAGAGGUGAAGAGGCCUAGGGUUACAAAAACUGUGUUUGUAUUUUAACAAUUAGUUUUUUCAGCGGUUGAUUUUUCUGGAGGUUUUAUUCACUUGGAUUCAUAUUGAUUGGAAGAAUGCAUGAGACCAGAUUUGUUAGUAGUACUGACACAGUGGUUGCUGUUGGCUUCCUGGUGAUGAAAAUGAGCUUCUUUGCAGCUGCUCUGAGAGCUCCCAGUCUUAUUGAUGAGAAAUAGUACCAGAAAGCAACUAGGACCUCAAUGAACAUCUUUCUUUUCCUCUGGCAGAAUUUAAUGGGGAGGAGAGGGCAAAGCAGAAAGGUGGUCCACAGAACCUGAGAU
rnacentral:lncRNA from 10 species